rnacentral:misc_RNA from 1 species
AUUUUACAAUGAAUAUAAUUCCUAAAUCCUAAGUAUCCUAAAUUGAGUCUUCUUCCAAAACUGUACCACAUGGUUAGUCAGCCUAUGAUAAUUAGCUACUUCUGUAUGCCAUUGUGGCAUUAAGUUAGUGCCUAACUUACAGCUAGGCUAUUACCAUUGAGCAGUUUGCUGUUUCAUUAUGAUAUUUAUUGAAUGUCAAUUAAGUCUCAACCUCUCAUGCA